GACGAACGCUGGCGGCGUGCUUAACACAUGCAAGUCGAGCGAGCAGAUUCCCUUCGGGGAUGAAGCUAGCGGCGGACGGGUGAGUAACACGUGGGCAACCUGCCUUAUAGAGGGGGAUAGCCUUCCGAAAGGAAGAUUAAUACCGCAUAACAUCAGAUUAUCGCAUGGUAGACUGAUCAAAGGAGCAAUCCGCUAUAAGAUGGGCCAGCGUCGAAUUAGCUAGUUGGUGAGGUAACGGCUAACCAAGGCGACGAUGCGUAGCCGACCUGAGAGGGUGAUCGGCCUCAUUUGGACUGAGACACGGCCCAGACUCCUACUGGAGGCAGCAGUGGGGAAUAUUGCACAAUGGGGGAAACCCUGAUGCAGCAACGCCGCGUGAGUGAUGAAGGCCUUCGGGUUGUAAAGCUCUUCGAUCAGGGACGAUAAUGACGGUACCCGCAGAAGAAGCCCCGGCUAACUUCGUGCCAGCCGCCGCGGUAAGAC
rnacentral:rRNA from 1 species